rnacentral:rRNA from 1 species
UACGGAGGGUGCAAGCGUUAUCCGGAUUUACUGGGUUUAAAGGGUGUGUAGGCGGACUUUUAAGUCAGCGGUGAAAUCUCCGGGCUCAACCCGGAAACUGCCAUUGAUACUAUUGGUCUUGAAUGUUGUUGAGGUGGGCGGAACGGGCCAUGUAGCGGUGAAAUGCAUAGAUAUCGUCAAGAACACCGAUAGCGAAGGCAGCUUACUGGGCUGUAACUGACGCUGAUGCACGAAAGUGUGGGGAUCAAACAGG